GCUCCAGUAUUAUUCACGUCAAAUAUGUCCGAAAAAGAAAUUGAAGAUAAACGCGAACUUGCAAUCAAUAUGUUAUCUAAUAAUGAAAACAUAGUUAUAUUAGAUAACAAUUUGAUAAAUGAUGACAAUAAUGCAAAAAUGAUUGAUUCACAAGACCACGAGUUUGAUAUAUAUUUCAAUAAAAAUA